GAAAUACACUACUACUUUGAUGGAAAUGCCUGCUGCUCAUUUUGCUAGAAACUGAACACAUCUCUCUACAUUUUUUGCUAUUCAGAUGUUAAAUACACUUUGGCAUCACACCGAAAUAUCCCCGGGAACAUAUUGUAUGAUUCAACGCUUUAAUACCUGGGUUAUUUUCCCCUGAAGUAGAUCCAGUAUCCCAUAACAGUGAGAGAAGGGUCUUCUCAAUCAAAGCCAUCAGUCAUUUCUAUCAGAAAAAAAAAUGGCAGAGAACUUACCCCACUCCUUGGCAGACGCUGUUGAAGGUCUCUAUUAGUGCCAGGAUUUAUCAAUUUGCAUCUCAUGAAUUUCUUUUCUUUCUAACAUUGUUAGCCACUUUAUGUGAUGUGAUCAACCGAUUGACAUACCGAAGGAACACGAUGCACUUCUCUUUAAAAAAACAAAAAACAUUUCUUCUGAUUUUUUCCUUUCAUCUUUGGAUACACGUUUAUAUUUCACUGAUUUUACUCAGUCUGCAAUAAGCUUGAGCCUCAACGCAAAGAAAAGCCAGCUGUUGUAUGAAAUAGAAAGGCAAAAUACAUAAUGCAUGCCAUAGAGAGGAUGCAUUGAGUUAGAUCUUAGCAAGCAUCCGCAUCUGCCACUUAGUCAUUGCUAAUAGCUUUUUUCCCAAGGCGAUUUAUUCUCCAAAGUUUUUAAAGCAAAAAUCACCAAAAUUGAGGUAGAAACUGCAUUCUAGGGUUUCUAUACUGUAUUUCUCUGGCUGUGUCUUUAUAGUACCUGUAUUCGUUCAUUUCUUACAGAAAAACAGUGCAGCUACUGAACUGGUUGACAAUCCCUCCAAAUACAGUCUCAUAAACAACUGGGGAAAAACGACAAUGGAAACAUAUCCAGAUUGUACUGAUUGUGGUCACACACAUCAAGAAAGCAACAUGCUAUCAAGAACCAUUGUCCCAGAGAAACUCAUUACACUGAAUUGUAUUUACACAGAAGAAUAAGUAACUUGGCUUGACAAUGCUAUUAAAUGCUAUCAACUCAUAUCACAGAGGAAAUGCUACAGUACACAGGAACAAAGCACAAAAAUACACUUCUUGAUGCAUCUGAGCUACGUAUGCUCACACUGUGAGUAUCUGGCGCUUUCUCCUUAAAAUUAGUAAGCAGAAUUUAUCCGUUGAGGGCAAGCUUGCUUUUUUGCUCAUCUAACAGGCCAAGGAGUAAGGAAGUGAUCAAACACAGCUGGCCAGAGCUUAAGAGUUGGGGCUGCCCAAGCUUUGUGCAGCUAACUACCACAAGAGAGGUUUGAUUUGAGGCUAAGGUUAAUGAUACAUAUACAUUGCUUCUUUUCUCCCCGAAAAGCUUGCAUUUCCACUCCUGUACAAAUGCUUCUGGGAGACACGCUUACAACUCCAGAGGAGCAAUGGAUAAUUUUCAGGAAAUUAAGGAUUUUACAUAUUUGUAUGUAUUUUAACUCCAAUAACCAACACCUCAGUGUAUUUACCAAAUGCCUUGAGGACAAUUACGAUGCAAACAUGAAAAGCAGUAACAGCUUUUUAUUUCCUAUCAGCCUUUUAUUUUCUCUUGUGACUGCAGACACUUCUCAACAUAAUGAAGAGCAACGUGAUCCCACACUGGUGCCUGGCAAGUUCACACUGAACAUCUCAAGACACAGCAGCUGAUGCCACACAUACCAUUAGCUCACACCAAAUGCUAACUGAAACCCCAACAUCUGCACAAGCUUUCUUUCAGAGCGGGGCAUAAAGCAUACCUUAAAUCCAAAACACUUGGGACCAAGUGCUGUCAUCUCGGUCAAAGAUGGCACUACACAAAAGCAUGAGCUUUGGAACACAGUUAAUUGUUUAAUGGAGUUUGAAAAACAUAGCAACACAGCACCAAAAUGAAAGGCGAUGCAACAGCUCUAGAUGGCACACGUGAAAGAACAGCACCACCUGGGUUUUUGGAAGCGUAAUAGGUGCAAGUAAAAAUCAAAAACAAGAAAUCAAGUUGAAGAACAUAAGGAUUACAUUUUGUCAAGCCUCUUUGGUCAUCUGAAAACACUCAAACUGUUUCAUACUUUUAUAGCCCAGGGUCAAGUCAUUCACAUACCUCAAUGCUGAUAAAAAUCAAAGCAAGCAGGCUGCAGUUUUCCUUUGCCUUCCCCCAGGAAGGGUCAGACAGCUAUAUUCAAAACUCUACACCAUAUUUAAUACACUGACACUGCCCACUCUUGAAGGUAUGUGCAAGAACUUACCUUCAGAAAUUUCCCAGCUUAAGUAUGCACUCUAAUCACACCAGUAUAACUUCCUUAAACGUGUACACAAAAUACACCAGCUGGAACCAGGGCACGUGAGUUACAGCUGUGCCAGUUUAAGUCAUUACUGUCUUUCAAGCUGCUUCCUCAGCUCAGCCCCUCCCCUGCAGCAGCCUGCUGGCAAGCAUGGUCAUGUAAUACUUGACAGUUCACUUCAGUCAGGUUUUCAUAUUUCUUCAGCUAACCUGGGCCAUGCUGACUGAAUCAGCUAUGAAUCCUAUUUAAAAAAAUCUGAUGAAAGACAUUUGAAGAAUUAUAGAAGAAAACCAGAAGAAUGGUUACACUAUUAAGCUUCCCUCGCCACCUAAGAUUCUGGAUACUUCAGCGUGAAUUUUAGGGCUCAACUGAUAAGUUUCUAUAUAAUUUAUAUAUAUAAUUUAGGACUACCAAGAACUACUCUCAUCCCCAAUCAGGUUCAAGUUUUUGCAAGUCUCUAGCAUUGCCUCCAGCGAAAGAUAAAACUGAAAAACAAGCAAAAAAGAAACACCGCACCCAAAGCUAUGAAAAUGAAGAAAAAAGUAACAGUAAGGAAGAGGAAUGUGCAUCUUUGACAUCAAUGUAACCGAAUAUAAACAAGUUGUUAUAAAUUCAGAGGUACUGUCCUGGGAGGUCACGUCAACUGGAAGUGUCAAGAAGUACAAAAAGGUGAUACUUUAGAGAAAAGCUUUUUGGUUGUUAUAAGCAAAGCAGUCUGUAGUAUCUCCAAUAGCAGUUUCAAGUGCAUUUUACCAUUAAGUUUGUUCACAUCAAGACUAGGCUAGGCUAACCGGGCCUUCUCUUUUGAGAAUCAUUGUGACCUAUCAGUGAGUCAAUAAUGACAAUAAUUCCUGCAAACAGAAGCUCUCCUUGCAACAGUUAAACUGGCAGACAAUUACAUUUGAAUUCUUCAUAACUUGUCUGGUACUCAGAUGCAAACAGGGAACAAAAAUUUCCCCUAUUAUACAUACUAACAUUCCUAUGUUCCUAUGGAGUUUCAGGCUGCAUUCUAAGAUAAAUGUCUCAUUAGAUUGUCACUGGAAUUUUGUUGGAUCAUCCUUAUAAAAGACCACAGUCCAAGCCCAGAAUGAAACACACUUGCAGCAGAAUGCAUUUUGAGAUUCCCAGAAAAGCAACACUUUGGAAAGGACCAGGAGAUGAAAAUCAGAAAAUAGAUGCAAGAGCAACCUAGCUUAAAGAGUUCUUAUGUCCUGCACUUCAAAUGAGGCAGUCCGUUAGCAAGUUUACCUCAGGUGACUCCAAAGCAAUAGCCUCGCAAAUAUACUACCAUCUGGCUGUGAGUUAUACAGGCAGAUCUACCAAGAAGAGGCACAGAACUAUCAUCACCCACAUUAAAAGGCCACUUGGCAUGUAUGUCAGGAACACUUAUCAGCAAGGUCACUGAAUUAGAAUGAGCUCUAAGAGCAACAUCUGAUACCAAAAAUAUCCUUGUCCUGGCAGCCUCAACACAACUUACUACUUCAACAAUUUUUGCAUGAAGAAAACAAGUCUUCUGGAUGUCAGCUGUCAUCACAUGAACAAGCUAAGGGACUGCCUGAAAACUGUGAACAUUCCACAGAGAGGAAAUCCUUACUUCUACUUUAUAUUAAAUUUAAUAAUAAAUAAUAUACAGAUUUAAUAUAAAUUUAAUCUUCAGCAAGAGACGUAUGAUAUACAGAUACAUAACAUAGAAUACAGAGGCGUAAGGAAAUAUUUCCAGGAAGGUAACAUCCUGCAUACAUCAGCUAUUUACCUGAGCUCUAGAAGGUAAACAGGUAUUACAGAGAGAUCAGUAGCCUCUGCUAAAUACUGUUUGAAAGGCAUCUGUAAUGAUUUAUCUGAAGAAAUCUGCUGAAAGAGCAUGAUGAUUCAUGGAGCUAGUACCCACCUCUUCAAUAUAAGUUAUAUAAAUUUGAAAAAUAAAU